AAUGUAUUUAAGAAGAUGAAGAGCAUUAUAAAUUAUAAAGCGAUAACACCAUAUUCUAUUUCUUACAUGCAAAAGAGAGAAAAUAUGACUGUUAUUGUCAAGUUUGUUUGUGUUAUGAUUAUCUUUCUUUCCCUAUGUGUUUUUUCAAUGCACAUUGAAACCGUUACUACAUGUAUUUACGACUCUGAUUGUCCAGAGGAUAUGUGCUAUCCACCUAAGAAGUCAUUUUGUUCGACAUUUGAAAUAUUAAGCAUCGAAAGAAAGGUAGGCGUAUGUGAGUGCAUUUGAGAGAUGUGACCAUAAGAUUGUGUUGCAAAAUUUUAUGAGCAAAUGUUAAGUAAUUGUGUUGGUACCCAAUAAUUUGAUUUUAUUUUUGGUACAAUAUAUUAUUUUUAUUCCAUUUUCACGACCUUAUCCUUGUGGCUAUAUACUCCAAGAUGAUUGUCACAAAUUAAAAUAAGUAAACAAAGAAUAUUGUUUAGAUUGUAUUUUUCUCUUUUAAUUUUGGAUAAAUCUCUAUGUCCUUCAAUUUGUGGUCUUCAAAA